rnacentral:rRNA from 1 species
CGUGUAGGCGGUCUGAUUAGUCUGAUGUGAAAGCCCUGGGCUCAACCCAGGAAGUGCAUUGGAUACUGUCAGACUUGAAUACGGGAGAGGGUAGUGGAAUUCCUAGUGUAGGAGUGAAAUCCGUAGAUAUUAGGAGGAACACCGGUGGCGAAGGCGGCUACCUGGACCGAUAUUGACGCUGAGACGCGAAAGCGUGGUAGCAAACA